GAUGAACGCUGGCGGCGUGCCUAAUACAUGCAAGUCGAGCGAACAGAUGAGGAGCUUGCUCCUCUGACGUUAGCGGCGGACGGGUGAGUAACACGUGGAUAACCUACCUAUAAGACUGGGAUAACUUCGGGAAACCGGAGCUAAUACCGGAUAAUAUAUUGAACCGCAUGGUUCAAUAGUGAAAGACGGUUUUGCUGUCACUUAUAGAUGGAUCCGCGCCGCAUUAGCUAGUUGGUAAGGUAACGGCUUACCAAGGCAACGAUGCGUAGCCGACCUGAGAGGGUGAUCGGCCACACUGGAACUGAGACACGGUCCAGACUCCUACGGGAGGCAGCAGUAGGGAAUCUUCCGCAAUGGGCGAAAGCCUGACGGAGCAACGCCGCGUGAGUGAGGAAGGUCUUCGGAUCGUAAAACUCUGUUAUUAGGGAAGAACAAAUGUGUAAGUAACUAUGCACGUCUUGACGGUACCUAAUCAGAAAGCCACGGCUAACUACGU
rnacentral:rRNA from 1 species